GACGAACGCUGGCGGCGUGCUUAACACAUGCAAGUCGAGCGGAGCGGCGAACGGGUGAGUAACGCGUGGGUAACCUGCCCUUAAGUCUGGGAUACCAUUUGGAAACAGAUGCUAAUACCGGAUACUAAAGGAUGGACCUGCGGUGCAUUAGCUAGUUGGUAAGGUAACGGCAUACCAAGGCCACGAUGCAUAGCCGACCUGAGAGGGUGAUCGGCCACACUGGGACUGAGAAACGGCCCAGACUCCUACGGGAGGCAGCAGUAGGGAAGAUUCGGCAAUGGGCGAAAGUCUGACCGAGCAACGCCGCGUGAGUGAAGAAGGUUUUCGGAUCGUAAAACACUGUUGUUAGAGAAGCGGUAUCUAACCAGAAAGCCACGGCUAACUACGUGCCAGCAGCCGCGGUAAUUC
rnacentral:rRNA from 1 species